rnacentral:rRNA from 1 species
GCAUAACGCGAAGAACCUUACCAAGGCUUGACAUGCAUCUCUAAGCGCGUGAAAGCGCGUGACCCUUCGGGGGAUUUGCACAGGUGCUGCAUGGCCGUCGUCAGCUCGUGUCGUGAGAUGUUGGGUUAAGUCCCGCAACGAGCGCAACCCUUGUGAACAGUUGCCAGCGGGUGAUGCCGGGAACUCUGUUCAGACUGCCCAGAUCAACUGGGAGGAAGGUGGGGACGACGUCAGGUCAGUAUGGCCCUUACGCCUUGGGCUGCACACGUACUACAAUGCCCAGCACAAUGAGAACCGAUGCCGCGAGGUGGAGGAAAUCUGAAAAACUGGGCCCAGUUCGGAUUGGAGGCUGCGACUCGCCUCCAUGAAGUUGGAAUCGCUAGUAAUGGCGCAUCAUCUACGGCGCCGUGAAUACGUUCCCGGGUCUUGUACACACCG